UUCGUGUUAAUUUGGGAGAGGAUAGAGAUUUCGUUUCGUGAGCAGAGCCAAACAUCUGAGGACUGCUGGAUUUGCAGCUGCAGGAGAACUGCCAAGAAAACUCUCGAGCAAACUGCUCUACCCUUGCAACCGGAGGCAGAGUGGAGAGGGGAUCCCUGCAUUUCCAGAGGCUUGUGGACUCUCCAAAGACACCUAAAAUCUCCAGCUAGAUUAAAAACUGGAAGGUCAGAAGAGCCCAAAGCCUUGGAGCUGAGAGGGAAGUCGCGUUUCCAUUGCAUGGCAUGCAACUAGAUAUUUCCUCCGUCCUCCGUGGCUGGGACCUGGCACACACUGUUUCCUGGCAGUCGAAGAGCGGCAAGUCCCAGCAGCGAGGUCAAAACCAUUUUUGGAGCCAAAGAGCAGCAUUCCUUUACAGUUAGUUAGCUUUACAACCGCCAAGGCCGCUCCUGCCAUCCUGGUCUAGAGCGACACCUACCGGCAACAAAGGGAACUGUCCCAAUUGCCCAGACCUGUGAAGAUUCCCUGUUCAUAUAGAUUGUAUCCCUCACUAAUUACAAUCUAUUUGAUGAUGU